UCGUUGGGUCAUCGUGUCCCCUUGCGGAGGC
rnacentral:sRNA from 1 species